GAAGUCGUAACAAGGUAGCCGUAUCGGAAGGUGCGGCUGGAUCACCUCCUUUUGAGUAUGGUGAAUAUAAUUGUCUUAUCAGGCGUCCUCACAAGUUACUUGCAUUCAGGGUUUGAUGUUGGCAUAGGUUUGGGUUUAUGUUGGCGAUUUUUGUUCUGGGGGCCUUAGCUCAGCUGGUAGAGCACCUGCUUUGCAAGCAGGGGGUCGUCGGUUCGAUCCCGACAGGCUCCACCAUCAAAGUAUUUAUGGGUCUGUAGCUCAGGUGGUUAGAGCGCACCCCUGAUAAGGGUGAGGUCGGUGGUUCGAGUCCUCCCAGACCCACCAAUGUUAUAUCAAUUAUUCUGAAUGUAUUUUGCGCAUUUUUAUGCUUAUCAGCCUUGGAGCUGUGAAGCGUUCUUUUAUAAUUUGAUGAUGUAGCAAGCGUUUGAAAUUUUUAUUAAAAAUUUCUCAUUUGAAGCCUUAAGUGACAAUGUUUAUCCAUUGUCUUGUAGAUUUUGAGGCGACUUUGGGUUAUAUGGUCAAGCGAAUAAGCGCACACGGU
rnacentral:misc_RNA from 1 species